GACGAACGCUGGCGGCGUGCUUAACACAUGCAAGUCGAACGGUGAAGCUCCAGCUUGCUGGAGUGGAUCAGUGGCGAACGGGUGAGUAACACGUGAGCAACCUGCCCCUGACUCUGGAAUAAGCGCUGGAAACGGCGUCUAAUACUGGAUACGAGAAGGGUCCGCAUGGGCACUUUCUGGAAAGUUUUUCGGUUGGGGAUGGGCUCGCGGCCUAUCAGCUUGUUGGUGAGGUAAUGGCUCACCAAGGCGACGACGGGUAGCCGGCCUGAGAGGGCGACCGGCCACACUGGGACUGAGACACGGCCCAGACUCCUACGGGAGGCAGCAGUGGGGAAUAUUGCACAAUGGGCGAAAGCCUGAUCCAGCGACGCCGCGUGAGGGAUGACGGCCUUCGGGUUGUAAACCUCUUUCAGCAGGGAAGAAGCGAAAGUGACGGUACCUGCAGAAGAAGCACCGGCUAACUACGUG
rnacentral:rRNA from 1 species